rnacentral:lncRNA from 1 species
AUAGGAUCUUAAUAUGCCUCAAAAGGAAACUCUUCAACAUGUGCAUACUAUCAGUAAUGACAUAUGGCUAUCAAAUAUGAACCCUUACAAAGAAAAUGGAAGAGAAAUUAUCAACAACCCAAAGAAGCUUAGAAUAAUACAUGUCAGGAUUCACAAGGAGGAACUGCAAGACCAAUAUAUGGAUAAGAGAACAAACCAAAGUAGAAGACAUACUGGUAACAAUUAGAAGCAGUUGGCAGGCCACAUAGCAAGAUACACCAAGAUCGAUGGACAAAGAGAAUUACAGAGUGGCAACCAAGGCAAGGAAAAAGACAUUCUUGCAAACAAUACAAACAAUGAAAGAUGAUAUAAGUAAAGUAAUUGUUUCCCAGUGGAUGAAGAUUGCAUGUGAUAGAUACAUUUGGAAACAAAACAAUACAGCAUAUAUCCAGUAGUGUAUGAAAUAAAAAUGAUUAUGAUGACAACAAUGACUUUAUGAGUAAUUUCUAGAUCUUUUAAAGUUGGGAACCAC